AUUGAACGCUGGCGGCAUGCCUUACACAUGCAAGUCGAACGGCAGGCACGGGAGCAAUCCUGGUGGCGAGUGGCGAACGGGUGAGUAAUAUAUCGGAACGUGCCCAGUCGUGGGGGAUAACGUAGCGAAAGCUACGCUAAUACCGCAUACGAUCUAUGGAUGAAAGCGGGGGAUCGCAAGACCUCGCGCGAUUGGAGCGGCCGAUAUCAGAUUAGGUAGUUGGUGAGGUAAAGGCUCACCAAGCCGACGAUCUGUAGCUGGUCUGAGAGGACGACCAGCCACACUGGGACUGAGACACGGCCCAGACUCCUACGGGAGGCAGCAGUGGGGAAUAUUGGACAAUGGGCGCAAGCCUGAUCCAGCAAUGCCGCGUGCAGGAUGAAGGCCUUCGGGUUGUAAACUGCUUUUGUACGGAACGAAACGGUGAGCUCUAAUACAGUUUGCUAAUGACGGUACCGUAAGAAUAAGCACCGGCUAACUACGUG
rnacentral:rRNA from 1 species